UACGGAGGGUGCAAGCGUUGUCCGGAUUUAUUGGGUUUAAAGGGUGCGUAGGUGGUUUUAUAAGUCAGUGGUGAAAGUCUGUAGCUUAACUAUAGAAUUGCCAUUGAUACUGUAGAACUUGAGCAUAGUUGAGGUAGGCGGAACUUAUGGUGUAGCGGUGAAAUGCAUAGAUACCAUAAAGAACACCGAUAGCGAAGGCAGCUUACUAAGCUAUAUCUGACACUGAGGCACGAAAGCAUGGGUAGCAAACAGG
rnacentral:misc_RNA from 1 species